GAUGAAGAACGCAGCGAAACGCGAUAAGUAGUGUGAAUUGCAGAAUUCAGUGAAUCAUCGAAUCUUUGAACGCACAUUGCGCCCUAUAGUAUUCUGUAGGGCAUGCAUGUUCGAGCGUCAUUUGUACCUUCAAGCUUUGCUUGGUGUUGGGUGUUUGUCCUCUCCCUGGUGUUUGGACUCGCCUUAAAACAAUUGGCAGCCAGUGUUUUGGUAUUGAAGCGCAGCACAAUUUGCGAUUCUGGCCUUAAAAUACUAGCGUCCAUAAGUACAUUCUCACUUUUGACCUCGGAUCAUGUAGGGAUACCCGCUGAACUUAAGCAUAUCAAUAAGCGGAGGA
rnacentral:misc_RNA from 1 species